AUUCGCGGCCUAUCAGCUUGUUGGUGAGGUAACGGCUCACCAAGGCUUCGACGGGUAGCCGGCCUGAGAGGGCGACCGGCCACACUGGGACUGAGAUACGGCCCAGACUCCUACGGGAGGCAGCAGUGGGGAAUAUUGCACAAUGGGCGAAAGCCUGAUGCAGCAACGCCGCGUGCGGGAUGACGGCCUUCGGGUUGUAAACCGCUUUCAGUAGGGACGAAGCGCAAGUGACGGUACCUACAGAAGAAGCACCGGCCAACUACGUGCCAGCAGCCGCGGUGAUACGUAGGGUGCGAGCGUUGUCCGGAAUUAUUGGGCGUAAAGAGCUCGUAGGCGGUCUGUCACGUCGGAAGUGAAAACUCAGGGCUCAACCCUGAGCCUGCUUCCGAUACGGGCUGACUAGAGGAAGGUAGGGGAGAUUGGAAUUCCUGGUGGAGCGGUGGAAUGCGCAGAUAUCAGGAGGAACACCGGUGGCGAAGGCGGAUCUCUGGACCUUUCCUGACGCUGAGGAGCGAAAGCGUGGGGAGCAAACAGGCUUAGAUACCCUGGUAGUCCACGCCGUAAACGGUGGGCACUAGGUGUGGGACUCAUUCCACGAGUUCCGUGCCGAAGCUAACGCAUUAAGUGCCCCGCCUGGGGAGUACGGAAU
rnacentral:rRNA from 1 species